AUAUAAGAGAACAUGAUGUUGGUUCAGAUCAAAUGCUAUGUAGAGACAUAACACAUGCAAGUUAUUUUAAAAUAUAGCGUUAAGGUGAGUGAUAUAAGAUAUAGAUAAAUAUCUUAUUCAGAUGUAGGUAUUAGAUAAUAAUCUAGCCAUGGAACUGGAGCCGACGAUAAGCGUCACAACGGCCACAUUGAUAUAAUAUCAACUCUUAUAUAGAGCAGCAGUGGGGAAUCUUUGACAAUGGUCUAACGACUGAUCAAGUUAUCUACGAGAAGGAUAUUAAACCCGUCUAAGACGGGCAUAUAUAUAUAAAAAAAACUAUAUAUAUAUAAAAAUAAUAAAAGAUUAACUAUAAACUUCUAAAUAAUAUGAUAAUAAUGAUAUCGAUUAUGAAAAGUCCUAACUAAAAUAUGUGCCAGCAGCUGCGGUUAGACAUAGAGGGCAAGCAUUGGUCAAAAUGGCUUAAAGGAUCUGUAGAACGUAUAAAAAAAUUUAAUAUAGAAUAAUGACUAGAAAUAGGAAGGGUAAUAAGAAUUAAAGUUAGAGGGAUAAAAUACUACGAAAACAUUAAGACUAUAAAGAGAUUACUUAAAAUUAUUGACGUUGUGAGAUGAAGGCUACGGUAGCGACAUGGAUUCGAUACCCAUUUAGUCGUAGCAGUGAACUAUGAGUACAAUAUUAUGAAAAAUGAAAAUGAAUAGUACUCCGCCUGACUAGUACGCUCGCAAGGGUGAAAUACAAGACAUUAGACGGUUGUAGUCCCAAGCAGUGGAACAUGUCAUUUAAUUGGAUGAUCCUCCAAGAACCUUACCAUCUCUUGAAUUAUUAACAGGCGUUACAUCGUUGUCGUCAGUUCAUGCCGUGAGGUUUAAUAUUAAGUUAUUGAAUGAACGUAACCCUUUUCUUAUAGAUAAGUAUAAUUGUAAAAUUAUAGGAAGUAGAGGUAGAAGACUAAUCAUGAUGACCCUAAUGAGAUGGGCAAUCGACGUGUUACAAUAUUAAUAACAAUUAAAUUAACUUUAAUGUUAAUAUAAAUAUAAUCUAUAUGAUUAUUUAUUAAAUAUUAAGAAUAAGACAUAGUUUCAUUUAUGGAUUGUAAUCUGAAAUUCGGUUACAUAAAGGAGGAAUUGCUAGUAAUCGUAAACUAGAUAGUUACGGUGAAAUUUUUUGCUACUUCGUACUAACCACUCAUCAACAGCAAGAAAUUUUUAUUUUACUUAUUGAGCUUUUAUAAAAAGGACUUGCUGUAAGUUGAAAUACGGUUCGGUUAGGGGAACCUGAUCGGGAUAUAUAUAUUUA
rnacentral:rRNA from 1 species